rnacentral:rRNA from 1 species
CGUAAAGCGCAUGCAGGUGGUUUGUUAAGUCAGAUGUGAAAGACCCGGGGCGUUAACCUCGGAAUUGCAUUUGAAACUGGCAGGCUAGAGUCUUGUAGAGGGGGGUAGGAAUUUCAGGUGUAGCGGUGAAAUGCGUAGAGAUCUGAAGGAAUACCAGUGGCGAAGGUGGCCCCCUCGGACAAAGACUGACGCUCAGAUGCGAAAGCGUGGGGAGCAAACAGGAUUAGAUACCCUGGUAG